rnacentral:rRNA from 1 species
UACGUAGGGCGCAAGCGUUGUCCGGAAUUAUUGGGCGUAAAGAGCUCGUAGGCGGCUUGUCACGUCGGGUGUGAAAGCCCGGGGCUUAACCUCGGGUCUGCAUUCGAUACGGGCAGGCUAGAGUGUGGUAGGGGAGAUCGGAAUUCCUGGUGUAGCGGUGAAAUGCGCAGAUAUCAGGAGGAACACCGGUGGCGAAGGCGGGACUCUGGGCCGAUACUGACGCUGAGGAGCGAAAGCGUGGGGAGCAAACAGG